AAAAAAAAAAAAAUCUAUGUGAAAAAUAUUACAUAUAAAUAAAAAUUUUAUGAUUUGAAAAGUUUAUUUUAAAUUCGUUUUACAUAUAAAUUUUAGUAUGAAUUUAUAAUUAUUUUAAUAAUAAUUAUUAUAAAAUAAUAGUAAUUAAAAUUAAAAAUUUAAGAAAUUAAGAUUUAGUGAUAUUUUAAUUAUUAACAAAUUUUGUGCCAGCAGUUGCGGUUAUACAAAAAAUAAUUUAAAUUUUAUCAGUAUAUAAUUAAUAAUUAUUUAAUUAAAUAAAAUAUUAGAUUAUUAGGUAAAAUUUUAUUUUAAUAAAAAUUUAUAUAAAUUUUAUGAUUUAAAAAAUUUUAUUAAAAACUAGGAUUAGAUACCCUAUUAUUAAAAAUUAAAUUUAUAAUGCUAAAAUAGUAAAUAAUAAUUUAUUGAAAUUUAAAUAAUUUGGCGGUAUUUUAGUAAAUUUAGAGGAAUCUGUUUAAUAAUUGAUAAACCACGAAUAAAUUUACUUAAUUUAUAAUUUUGUAUAUCGUUGUUAAAAAAAUAUUUUUUUAUAAUAAUAAUAUUUAAAAAUUUAAAUAAAAAAUUAAUUCAGAUCAAGAUGCAGAUUAUAAUUAAGAAUAUAAUGGAUUACAAUAAAUAUAAUUAAUAUAUAUAUAUAUAUAUACAUAUUUAAAUGAAUAAUAUUUUAAAAAAAAUAUUUGAAGGUGGAUUUAAAUGUAAUUUUAUUUAAUUUAAUAAAAUGAUUAAAUAUUAAAAUAUGUACAUAUUGCCCGUCGCUUUCAUAAAUAAAUUGAAAUAAGUCGUAACAAAGUAGAGGUACUGGAAAGUGUUUCUAGAAAGAU
rnacentral:rRNA from 1 species